UCGCAAACGCCGACCUCAGAGCAGGUGAGAUCACCCGCUGAAUUUAA
rnacentral:rRNA from 1 species